rnacentral:rRNA from 1 species
GAUGAACGCUGGCGGCGUGCCUAAUACAUGCAAGUCGAGCGAACGGACGAGAAGCUUGCUUCUCUGAUGUUAGCGGCGGACGGGUGAGUAACACGUGGAUAACCUACUUAUAAGACUGGGAUAACUUCGGGAAACCGGAGCUAAUACCGGAUAAUAUUUUGAACCGCAUGGUUCAAAAGUGAAAGACGGUCUUGCUGUCACUUAUAGAUGGAUCCGCGCUGCAUUAGCUAGUUGGUAAGGUAACGGCUUACCAAGGCAACGAUGCAUAGCCGACCUGAGAGGGUGAUCGGCCACACUGGAACUGAGACACGGUCCAGACUCCUACGGGAGGCAGCAGUAGGGAAUCUUCCGCAAUGGGCGAAAGCCUGACGGAGCAACGCCGCGUGAGUGAUGAAGGUCUUCGGAUCGUAAAACUCUGUUAUUAGGGAAGAACAUAUGUGUAAGUAACUGUGCACAUCUUGACGGUACCUAAUCAGAAAGCCCCGGCUAACUACGUG